rnacentral:rRNA from 1 species
CUCAGGAUGAACGCUAGCUACAGGCUUAACACAUGCAAGUCGAGGGAAACGAUAUUGGAAGCUUGCUUCCGAUAGGCGUCGACCGGCGCACGGGUGAGUAACGCGUAUCCAACCUGCCCACCACUUGGGGAUAACCUUGCGAAAGUAAGACUAAUACCCAAUGACGUCUCUAGAAGACAUCUGAAAGAGAUUAAAGAUUUAUCGGUGAUGGAUGGGGAUGCGUCUGAUUAGCUUGUUGGCGGGGUAACGGCCACCAAGGCAACGAUCAGUAGGGGUUCUGAGAGGAAGGUCCCCCACAUUGGAACUGAGACACGGUCCAAACUCCUACGGGAGGCAGCAGUGAGGAAUAUUGGUCAAUGGGCGAGAGCCUGAACCAGCCAAGUAGCGUGCAGGACGACGGCCCUAUGGGUUGUAAACUGCUUUUAUAAGGGAAUAAAGUGAGUCUCGUGAGACUUUUUGCAUGUACCUUAUGAAUAAGGACCGGCUAAUUCCGUG